rnacentral:rRNA from 1 species
GAUGAACGCUGGCGGCGUGCUUAACACAUGCAAGUCGAACGGAAAGGCUCCUGCUUGCAGGGGUACUCGAGUGGCGAACGGGUGAGUAACACGUGGGUGAUCUGCCCUGCACUUCGGGAUAAGCCUGGGAAACUGGGUCUAAUACCGGAUAGGACGAUAGUUUGGAUGCCAUUUUGGAAAGUUUUUCGGUGUGGGAUGAGCUCGCGGCCUAUCAGCUUGUUGGGGGGGUAAUGGCCUACCAAGGCGUCGACGGGUAGCCGGCCUGAGAGGGUGUACGGCCAAAUGGGGACGGGGAUACGGCCCAGACCCCUACGGGGGGCAGCGGGGGGGAAUAUUGCAAAAGGGGGGCAAGCCUGAUGCAGCGACCCCGGGUGGGGGAGGACGGCCUUCGGGUUGUAAACUCCUUUCGCUAGGGACGAAGCCAAAGGGACGGUACCUGGAGAAGAAGCACCGGUUAACUACGU